CGGACCGGCGCACGGGUGCGUAACGCGUAUGCAACCUACCUUUAACAGGGGGAUAACACUGAGAAAUUGGUACUAAUACCCCAUAAUAUCAUAGAAGGCAUCUUUUAUGGUUGAAAAUUCCGAUGGUUAGAGAUGGGCAUGCGUUGUAUUAGCUAGUUGGUGGGGCAACGGCUCACCAAGGCGACGAUACAUAGGGGGACUGAGAGGUUAACCCCCCACACUGGUACUGAGACACGGUCCAG
rnacentral:rRNA from 1 species